rnacentral:rRNA from 1 species
AUUGAACGCUGGCGGCAGGCCUAACACAUGCAAGUCGAGCGGAUGAAGAGAGCUUGCUCUCUGAUUUAGCGGCGGACGGGUGAGUAAUGCCUAGGAAUCUGCCUGGUAGUGGGGGAUAACGUCCGGAAACGGGCGCUAAUACCGCAUACGUCCUACGGGAGAAAGCAGGGGACCUGCGGGCCUUGCGCUAUCAGGUGAGCCUAGGUCGGAUUAGCUAGUUGGUGAGGUAAUGGCUCACCAAGGCUACGAUCCGUAACUGGUCUGAGAGGAUGAUCAGUCACACUGGAACUGAGACACGGUCCAGACUCCUACGGGAGGCAGCAGUGGGGAAUAUUGGACAAUGGGCGAAAGCCUGAUCCAGCCAUGCCGCGUGUGUGAAGAAGGUCUUCGGAUUGUAAAGCACUUUAAGUUGGGAGGAAGGGCAGUAAGUUAAUACCUUGCUGUUUUGACGUUACCGACAGAAUAAGCACCGGCUAACUUCGUGCCAGCCGCCGCCGUAAAAC